ACCUAUUUGGAUUCAAGAUGUUUUGGAUAGGUGUGUCAUCCCGCUAUCGACCAAGGAUUUCCUGAGAUAGCCAGCGAACGAACUGAACCCGAAAUGACGUAAUAGGUCACGAUGCUACAGCUGCUAGGCAUUGAGUAAGGCCAAAUGAUAAUACGGUUUAGUGUGUGCCACUGAGGAGGAUGUUUUAAGAGUCUGCAAAUGACCUUAGAGCACUAAAGGCACAGCGUAGGG
rnacentral:sRNA from 17 species